rnacentral:rRNA from 1 species
AAUGAACGCUGGCGGCAUGCCUAACACAUGCAAGUCGAACGAGCCCUUCGGGUCUUGUGUCGUACGGGUGCGUAACGCGUCGGAACCUUCCCUUAUGUUUGGCCUACCUCUCCGACUGGGGUGCCUAUACCGGACAAUAUCUUCUGCCCAAUGAUAUAUCGCCUUUGGUUGGGCCCGCGUUGAAUUAGCUUGUUCGUAGGGUUAAAGCCUACCAAGGCGACGAUCCAUAGCUGGUCUGAGAGGAUGAUCAGCCACACUGGGACUGAGACCCGGCCCAGACUCUUACGGGAGGGGGGAGUGGGGAAUAGUGGACAAUGGGCGGAAGCCUGAUGCAGCAAGGCCGGGUGAGUGAUGAAGGCCUUAAGGUUGUAAAGCGCAUUUAACCGGGAUGAUAAUGACAGUACCGAGAGAGUAAGCUACGGCUAACUCCGUG